UGGGGAAUAUUGGACAAUGGGCGCAAGCCUGAUCCAGCCAUGCCGCGUGAGUGACGAAGGCCUUAGGGUUGUAAAGCUCUUUUUGGCGGGGAAGAUAAUGACGGUACCCGGAGAAGAAGCUCCGGCUAACUUCGUGCCAGCAGCCGCGGUAAUACGAAGGGAGCUAGCGUUGUUCGGAAUUACUGGGCGUAAAGCGCACGUAGGCGGGCUAUUAAGUCAGGGGUGAAAUCCCGAGGCUCAACCUCGGAACUGCCUUUGAUACUGAUAGUCUUGAGAUCGGGAGAGGUGAGUGGAAUUCCUAGUGUAGAGGUGAAAUUCGUAGAUAUUAGGAAGAACACCAGUGGCGAAGGCGGCUCACUGGCCCGAUACUGACGCUGAGGUGCGAAAGCGUGGGGAGCAAACAGGAUUAGAUACCCAAGUAGUCCCUG
rnacentral:rRNA from 1 species